UCCCUGACACGUUAACUGUAUUGAUAAUAUUAUUAUUACUUGCAGUAAUCUCGCAAUCUUUUCUUGAUAAACCACCUCUGUUGCCAACUAAUACAUCCCAAUUCCUGCAAGCAUGCCAAAGAGAUGAGCUGCCUAAUUGGACUGUCUUGUAGAUUAGCGGUGAUGCAGAUGAACAUCAAAGAACCCUUGACAGUCAGCCUGAUCCCCAGCUAAAACCUGGAAUGUGGUUACACCGCUUCACUUCAAGGGGCACAAAAAUCGUUAAGCGCUGAGUAUUACUGGGAAAGGACUCAGCUUUGACUGACGUUAGCAGCCGAAGUCUCGUGAUCAUAACAGACCGAGGAAAGCUGGAGCAGCAGGUGUGACUGCGAUGAAUUGAGCUUACAGGGGGUUUGCUGGAGCCUGUCCCAGCAUGCAUUCAGCUAUAUCCCACUACACUCUCAACAGG